rnacentral:rRNA from 1 species
UACGUAGGGUGCAAGCGUUGUCCGGAAUCAUUGGGCGUAAAGAGCGUGUAGGCGGUCCGAUCAGUCCGCUGUAAAAGUCCAGGGCUCAACCCUGGGAUGCCGGUGGAUACUGUCGGGCUAGAGUCCGGAAGAGGCGAGUGGAAUUCCUGGUGUAGCGGUGAAAUGCGCAGAUAUCAGGAGGAACACCAAUGGCGAAGGCAGCUCGCUGGGACGGUACUGACGCUGAGACGCGAAAGCGUGGGGAGCAAACAGG